AUACCUUCUCGGCCUUUUGGCUAAGAUCAAGUGUAGUAACUGUCGUUGUCGGGUCGAAUACGAGAGGUACCUCUU